UUUUCCCGCAUUGAUUGCAGAUAUCGAUUUUCUGCCACCGAAUACAUUAGCAUGGGAUAAUGGAAUAGGACCCUGUCCUCCUAUUUUCAGUUGGUUUUGGCAGCGCGAGGACUAGGGUAAUGAUUAAUAGGGAUAGUUGGGGGCAUUAAUAUUUAAUUGUCAGAGGUGAAAUUCUUGGAUUUAUGAAAGAUUAACUUCUGCGAAAGCAUCUGCCAAGGAUGUUUUCAUUAAUCAAGAACGAAAGUUAGGGGAUCGAAGACGAUCAGAUACCGUCGUAGUCUUAACCAUAAACGAUGCCGACCAGCGAUUAGGAGACGUUGAAUACAAAACACCACCAUCGGCGCGGUCGUCCCUGGCUCGUCGUUUCACGACGGCGGGCGGGGGCGGUUUAGCCCGAUGGCACCGGUGAAUGACUCCCUAGACCCUGGGUGAGAA
rnacentral:rRNA from 1 species